UACGUAGGGGGCAAGCGUUGUUCGGAUUUACUGGGCGUAAAGAGCGCGCAGGCGGUCGGAUCAGUCGAAUGUGAAAGCCCCCGGCUCAACUGGGGAGGGUCAUUCGAUACUGUCCGACUCGAAGGCAGGAGAGGGAGGCGGAAUUCCCGGUGUAGUGGUGAAAUGCGCAGAUAUCAGGAGGAACACCGAUGGCGAAGGCAGGUCACUGGGCCGCAACUGACGCUGAGGAGCGAAAGCAUGGGGAGCGAACAGG
rnacentral:rRNA from 1 species